UACGGAGGGUGCAAGCGUUAUCCGGAUUCACUGGGUUUAAAGGGUGCGUAGGCGGGCAGGUAAGUCAGAGGUGAAAUCUCCGGGCUCAACCCGGAAACUGCCUUUGAUACUAUCUGUCUUGAAUAUGGUGGAGGUAAGCGGAAUAUGUCAUGUAGCGGUGAAAUGCUUAGAGAUGACAUAGAACACCUAUUGCGAAGGCAGCUUACUACGCCUAUAUUGACACUGAGGCUCGAAAGCGUGGGGAUCAAACAGG
rnacentral:rRNA from 1 species